GAAGUGAGGGCAAAUGGUUAAGUCAUUUAGUUACAAACUAAAAGGAGUGGGUUCGAUUCCCAUCGCUUCUU
rnacentral:tRNA from 1 species